rnacentral:rRNA from 1 species
UACGGAGGGUGCAAGCGUUAAUCGGAAUUACUGGGCGUAAAGCGUGCGUAGGCGGUUCGUUAAGUCUGUUGUGAAAGCCCCGGGCUCAACCUGGGAAUGGCAAUGGAUACUGGCGAGCUAGAGUGUGUCAGAGGAUGGUGGAAUUCCCGGUGUAGCGGUGAAAUGCGUAGAGAUCGGGAGGAAGGCCGGUGGCGAAGGCGGCGCUCUGGAACGUACCUGACGCUGAGACACGAAAGCGUGGGGAGCAAACAGG